rnacentral:ncRNA from 1 species
GGGUCUGUCGGCGGGCGCUGGCAGAGGCGAAUGCUGGUGGUCGGGCCGCCCUCCG